rnacentral:rRNA from 1 species
GACGAACGCUGGCGGCGUGCUUAACACAUGCAAGUCGAACGGAAAGGCCCUGCUUUUGUGGGGUGCUCGAGUGGCGAACGGGUGAGUAACACGUGAGUAACCUGCCCUUGACUUUGGGAUAACUUCAGGAAACUGGGGCUAAUACCGGAUAGGAGCUCCUGCUGCAUGGUGGGGGUUGGAAAGUUUCGGCGGUUGGGGAUGGACUCGCGGCUUAUCAGCUUGUUGGUGGGGUAGUGGCUUACCAAGGCAUUGACGGGUAGCCGGCCUGAGAGGGUGACCGGCCACAUUGGGACUGAGGUACGGCCAAGACUCCUACGGGAGGCAGCAGUGGGGAAUAUUGCACAAUGGGCGGAAGCCUGAUGCAGCAACGCCGCGUGCGGGAUGACGGCCUUCGGGUUGUAAACCGCUUUCGCCUGUGACGAAGCGUGAGUGACGGUAAUGGGUAAAGAAGCACCGGCUAACUACGUG